AGUGAUUGGAAAACAGGGUGUAACCUUUAAUAGAAAGAUUGAAGACGGAGCAUAAAUAAAAGAUGAAAAUUAACAAAUGUAUUAGGAGCUGGUUUUGUCCCAAUUUUUCAAGGUUCUCAACUCUUCAUCUUUUGAAGAUGUAGAGCAAAAUUAGAGGUAGGAAAAGCUUAAUAAAGUGAAUAUUCCGAUGCACAAAGCGCAAAGUAGAACUUCAUACCAAAUAGCAUAAGCCUUACAGUUUCGAGCUUUCCCCUGUAGGCUAUAUUGAAUUGUCAUUGCUAUGCUUUGAAGCGCAGGGAAGAGUGCUUCACAGUGUGCUUGUUUAAAACAUUGGAAAUGACUUGGAAGUUGGCCUACUUCAUGUUCUUUUUGCUGGUUGGGAUUUGCGUGAUACUUUCUAGAAUGAGUUUUAUGAUAAUUGGUACUGCAUCUAUCAUCUAUUUUCUACAUACUCAACCAAGGAAAUAUAUGACACGCAGAAUUGAGAAAUUGUCAGACUUAUGUUUUAAAUUUGAACUAUUUAAGGGUUCUUCAUUCUUCUAAGUUGAAUCCUUGCGAAGAAUCACUUCAGACUAUGCCCUUUGGACUUGAACUUCAGUAUUAUUUUCAUUCCAGAUAAAAAGAAGAGCUACUGGAUUAUGUUCCUAAUAGCAAGGACUUCAACAUUUCACUUUGCACACGGUCGACAGUGUUGCCCAUAAAACCUGAAACCUGACCAUCAAUUCUAGCGAUGAACCUUGGCCUAUUUCAGGUUGUGCGACAUUUUAAUUGUAGCUGGGCAUGAAGUUCAUGUUGUUACGGGUGCUCCGGACUUUGGUUUUACUAGCGAGAUUCAGUCUCCCAACCUCCACAUUAGCAAGGUGACAGGACGUGCUGGAUUGUGGAGUUGUGCAAGCUGAUGCAUUGACAGUGGACCGUCUGUCCUCCUUGCAGAAGUACUCCGAGACGACUGUGGUGCGAAGGCCUUCCAUUUUGGCAGCAGAAGUAUCAGAGAAUGAUAUGUUGAUACUUUCAGAGGUAAGAUUUUUUUUUCUUUGUAUAUUUCACAUAAAUUUAACUGUAGAGUAUAAAAACCGAACAAACCGAACCGAACCGCACC